rnacentral:tRNA from 1 species
GCGACACUAGCUCAGCUGGUAGAGCGCAACCUUGCCAAGGUUGAGGUCACGAGUUCGAACCUCGUGUGUC